UUUUUACAAAUUAAAGCGCACAGAUAAAAGACUCUCUGCUGCCUCUAAUUCAUAAGAUUCGAAACAAUUGGUACACGAGGAAGGCUCAGACUGGUUAUUGAACAACUGUUAUUGGUAUGCUGGCAAAUUUCGUGUCGCCUAAAAAGUCGUUAAGAGACGAAGCAAUUUUAUAUACUUUCCUACGAGGAUAUUUUAUAAUACGGAUUGGAACGAAUCAAAAGUGUUGAUUGAAUUGAAUGAGAAGUAGUGAUUGACUGUGAAGAGGAACGAUUGAAUCUGAGGAAAAGAAAGAACAUUUUCUUUAAGGUAUUUAUCAUAGAAAGAUGAGUCCGUUGUUUAACAUGCUAUAUAAGAACCGUAGAAAUGCUACGUCGUUGCCUAGAAGAGACGUUCGAAUUGCUAGAGGAGAUUUUCUGGCUACCUCCCCGAAGGUUGUAAAAAAUAUGACCAACAGAUUUUCUUCGAACCCGAACGGUAUUUUCAUUUUCUAGUUCCUAGGUAGUGUCGUAAAAUCGGUUACUCUUUCAUCUGUUAUACACACAGGUAUACCUGGUUUGGGAAUCGUUUCGAGGGAGAUCGUUGCGUUUCGGAGUGAAUCGGCUCGGCUCGCUCGAACGAACAUCGCGGUACGAACGGAGAAUUUGAAGCCAGGACUCUCUCGUUGCCUGCUGUGUGCCUUUUCUCUUUCGACGUGUUUCUUUUUCACUCUGGCCGACGCUGACUUUCUUUCUCUCUCUCUACUCUCGUCAUCGGAGCCUAUCUUUUUCUUGCCAUUCCACCGUUUCCCUUGUUCACCGUGUGCCCCUUCUUGCAUUCGUUCGUUCGUUCGUUCGUUCGUUCGUUCGUUCGUUACGUUGCCUAGCCCUGGGAAUGCGCGGUCAUUCUCUCUCUUGCUCCUCGACGUUUCUCUGUUUCACUCGCACGCGCGUCUUAUUGACCCGGACCCGGUUCUCUCCUCUUCUCUCUCUCUCUCUUUCUCUCUCGUUCUACGUUCUGUCUCUAUCGCACCCUCUCGAUUCGCCGGGUUACCUCCGACUCACCCGCCUCUUGAUUGGGGGUUGAGUGGGAAGAAAGGAAACCCAACGUAUAAAUCCUAUGAUAUACAUUUUCAUUUUGUCUCUCGUACGAAUUGAAAAAAUAAGGGAACAUCGGCGACGUUAGGAAUUAUUUUCUCCGGAGGACGCGCGCCGAUGGUAGUUCCCACGAUACGUUUUCCAUAUUUAAUAGAUCCGAUCUCUCGGACAAGCGCCUAGGAAUUAUGGGGUAUGCGUCAGUCGCAGGGUAUAAGUUUGAAAUUACAUUCCAGUCCCUUACGAUUUAUCGAAUUUUACAAGAACGAGUUUAUAUUAAUUGUUCUCUCGUGUAAACGUGAUUCACUGUCAAGACUGUAUCUUUCCUGGAAUAUUCUCCGAGUGUACGCUAAAUGGAACUAAAACGAGAGAACCUCCGCAAAGGACGAUAGCGUGAGCAUAAAAUUUGUAUUUGGAGCUAUGAAAAGGAGGCAAUUUGGGUAAUGUUUGAAAAUUUUGUUCUUCCGUAUCGACUGACAGGACGGUCGGUCGCGGCGGUGAACGUUGCGGGUUGACACGGAGGAAAAAGGGUGCGCGAAAAGCAGGAAGUACCAAUGUGGAGCAAAUUCCAGUGACCGUAGCAGUGUAACGAAACUAAGAAGGGUAAAAAGAAGAAAAAAAGAAAAAGGCGCGAGAAGAAGAAGAAGAAAGAGCGCGCGACGACGACGACGACGACGACAAGUCAGAGGAGUCGACGUCUUCCUCUCCCUUUCGUUCUCUUUCUCUGCCUAAAAGUUGACCUCGAGUUUCAAGGGUAGAGAAGGGUUUGCAGUCGUUCGCCCCUCUACCUUACCGGGGACGACUACGAAGCCGUGGCUCUCGAAUUCUCUACGGAACGGAAGAGAGAAAAGCGACGUUGCCUCGACGUUAGCCGCGUCAGACUCCCGCCAUCCCCACCUCUGUUAAAACGUCGUUCGAUUGGUCGGACCGUUCGGGUUUUCCUUUGUGAGCGGGCGGGUGAAAGCGCGGCCUGGCAACGCCGCGGGAGUUCGCCGGCGCGGCGUCCGCUGGAAGGAAGGCUAAGCUCUUGCCUGGUGGAAAAAGGACGGAGGAACGCUAGGAGAAAGAGAGGAGAACCAGCGAGGGACUCGGAGAAGGGGACACACCGGAGAAAGAGAAAGAGAGAGAAUAUACAAGCGUCCAGCCAGCACCAUCGGCAGCAAGCAAGCAAGCAAGCGAGCGAGCGAGCCGUCCUCGCCAGGUUCGCCCUCUGUGUGUGCGGGGCAUCGCGUGUAGAGUCCGUGCCGAGAGAAGCGAUCCGCGCGCGUAAGCUUCUCCAUGUGAAAAAGCUAUUACGCGUUCCACUACCACUGUGUGCGAAAGGGAGAGAGAAGAACGUCGUCGUCGUCGUCGUAUGUACACCGUAAAACAAGAAGAAGGAGUAUCGCGCGUGGUGUCGCGUACAGUGCGUAAUUAGCGUCUACGCGUUUUUCCGAGGAGGAGUAGGAAGAAGAGUAGUAGUAGAACUACGGAUACACCGGGCGAGAAGAGCGAUGCGCUCGAAAUAUCUCCGCUGGACGAAUGAACGAGGAUAGACAAGUCGUAUGCCCGGCGUAAGAGAAAAAUUGAGUGGUUCCAUGAGCAAGGGUAGGGAAGAAGACAUAGUAUAGAGCGGUAGAGUCGGGGCAGAAAGGAGAGAGAGAGAGAGAGAGAGAGAGAGAGAGAGACCGGAGACGGAGACGGAGAUACGCAGCGGAGCAGCGUAUCUGUCGAUGGUGGGGAUACAGAGGGAAAAAGAAAGAGCUAGAAGGGGAGAGAGCGCCCUCCCCUACCCACCCGCCCGCUCUCCUCCUCUACCCGCCAUACCUACUCACGGAGCUAACGAACGGUUGAGCGUAGCGUCGAGUAGACCGCAACCCAAGUAUAACGUUCGUAUUCACGAGGACCUUCUCAUCUAUAGAUCGUGGAAAAAGCGUGUACGAGGAGCGGGCGUGCUACCAGGAGUACUAGUGGUGAUCGUGUAGUGCACCGGCUGGACGAGGGAAACGUGGUGUGUCACAGUGAACAGAACGAGAGAGAGAGAGAGAGA